UACAGAGACUGCAAGCGUUAUUCGGAUUCACUGGGCGUAAAGGGUGCGCAGGCGGCCAAGUGUGUCAGGUGUGAAAUCCCGGGGCUCAACCCCGGAACUGCGCCUGAAACUACUUGGCUAGAGCAUUGGAGAGGGUAGUGGAAUUCACGGCGUAGCAGUGAAAUGCGUAGAUAUCGUGAGGAACACCAGAGGCGAAGGCGACUACCUGGACAAUUGCUGACGCUCAGGCACGAAAGCGUGGGGAGCCAAAGGG
rnacentral:misc_RNA from 1 species